rnacentral:rRNA from 1 species
AGAGUUUGAUCCUGGCUCAGGACGAACGUUGGCGGCGUGCCUAACACAUGCAAGUCAAGGGUAGCAAUACACUGGCGCACGGGUGAGUAACGCGUGGGUAAUCUGCCCAUAUCACAGACACAACAUCGAGAAAUCGGUGCUAAUAUCUGAUGAGGCGAGAAAUCGUCAAAGCUUCGGCGGAUAUGGAUGAGCCCGCGUCUGAUUAGCUAGUUGGUGGUGUAAUGGACCACCAAGGCAACGAUCAGUAGCUGGUCUGAGAGGACGAUCAGCCACACUGGAACUGAGACACGGUCCAGACUCCUACGGGAGGCAGCAGUGAGGAAUAUUGGUCAAUGGGCGCAAGCCUGAACCAGCGACGCCGCGUCAGGGAUGAAGGGGCUUUGCCCUGUAAACCUCUGUCGAGUGGGAAAAAGGGGCUCUUAUGGAGUCCGGGAUUGUACCACUGGAGGAAGCACCGGCUAACUACGUGCCAGCAGCCGCGGUAAUACGUAGGGUACAAACGUUGUCCGGAAUUACUGGGUGUAAAGGGUGCGCAGGCGGGUAGGUGCGUCAGAGGUUAAAUAUUUCGGCUCAACCGAAAAAAUGCCUUUGAUACGGCCUAUCUUGAGUACGAGAGAGGAUGAUAGAAUUCCUGGUGUAGCGGUGAAAUGCGUAGAUAUCAGGAGGAAUACCAGUGGCGAAGGCGGUCAUCUGGCUCGUAACUGACGCUUAGGCACGAAAGUGUGGGUAGCGAACAGGAUUAGAUACCCUGGUAGUCCACACCCUAAACGAUGUAUGCUUGGUGUUGGGGGCUUGCCCUCAGUGCCGAAAGGAAACCCGUUAAGCAUACCACCUGGGGAGUACGAUCGCAAGGUUGAAACUCAAAGGAAUUGACGGGGGCCCGCACAAGCGGUGGAUCAUGUGGUUUAAUUCGAUGCAACGCGAAGAACCUUACCUGGGCUUGAACUGCAAGAAGUACAGAGAUGAAAGUCAACGGAGCCGUAAAAUCGGCAACUUGUAGAGGUGCUGCAUGGCUGUCGUCAGCUCGUGUCGUGAGAUGUUGGGUUAAGUCCCGCAACGAGCGCAACCCCUAUCUUUAGUUGCCAUCAGGUCAUGCUGGGCACUCUAAAGAGACUGCCUACGCAAGUAGAGAGGAAGGCGGGGAUGACGUCAAGUCAUCAUGGCCCUUAUGUCCAGGGCUACACACGUGAUACAAUGAUAGAUACAAUGGGCGAAGCCGCGAGGUGGAGGAAAUCCCCAAAGUCUAUCUCAGUUCGGAUUGUAGUCUGCAACUCGACUACAUGAAGUUGGAAUCGCUAGUAAUCGUAGAUCAGCACGCUACGGUGAAUACGUUCCCGGGCCUUGUACACACCGCCCGUCAAGCCAUGGAAGCUGGGGGCGCCCGAAGCCGGUAGAAGUACCGUCGAAGGCGAACUUAGUGACUGGGGCUAAGUCGUAACAAGGUAGCC